AACGAACGCUGGCGGCAUGCCUAACACAUGCAAGUCGAACGAGACCUUCGGGUCUAGUGGCGCACGGGUGCGUAACGCGUGGGAACCUUCCCUUAGGUUCGGAAUAACUCCCCGAAAGGGGUGCUAAUACCGGAUAAUGUCUUCGGACCAAAGAUUUAUCGCCUUUGGAUGGGCCCGCGUUGGAUUAGCUAGUUGGUAGGGUAAAAGCCUACCAAGGCGACGAUCCAUAGCUGGUCUGAGAGAAUGAUCAGCCACACUGGGACUGAGACACGGCCCAGACUCCUACGGGAGGCGGCAGUGGGGAAUAUUGGACAAUGGGCGAAGGCCUGAUCCAGCAAUGCCGCGUGAGUGAUGAAGGCCUUAGGGUUGUAAAGCUCUUUUACCCGGGAUGAUAAUGACAGUACCGGGAGAAUAAGCUCCGGCUAACUCCGUG
rnacentral:rRNA from 1 species